AACGAACGCUGGCGGCAGGCCUAACACAUGCAAGUCGAGCGCCCCGCAAGGGGAGCGGCGGACGGGUGAGUAACGCGUGGGAAUUUUCCUCAAGGUACGGAACAACUCAGGGAAACUUGGGCUAAUACCGUAUGAUGUCUAGCGACCAAAGAUUUAUCGCCUUGGGAUAAGCCCGCGUCAGAUUAGGUAGUUGGUGGGGUAACGGCCCACCAAGCCUGCGAUCUGUAGCUGGUCUGAGAGGACGAUCAGCCACACUGGGACUGAGACACGGCCCAGACUCCUACGGGAGGCAGCAGUGGGGAAUCUUGCGCAAUGGGCGAAAGCCUGACGCAGCCAUGCCGCGUGAAUGAUGAAGGUCUUAGGAUUGUAAAGUUCUUUCGCCCGUGACGAUGAUGACGGUAAC
rnacentral:rRNA from 1 species